UACGUAGGUCCCGAGCGUUGUCCGGACUUAUUGGGCGUAAAGCGAGCGCAGGUGGUUUAUUAAGUCUGGUGUAAAAGGCAGUGGCUCAACCAUUGUAUGCAUUGGAAACUGGUAGACUUGAGUGCAGGAGAGGAGAGUGGAACUCCAUGUGUAGCGGUGAAAUGCGUAGAUAUAUGGAGGAACACCGGUGGCGAAAGCGGCUCUCUGGCCUGUAACUGACACUGAGGCUCGAAAGCGUGGGGAGCAAACAGG
rnacentral:rRNA from 1 species